GUGCCAGCAUCUGCGGUUAGUCUGUUUUCUUUGCUUUUAUGUGGAUAGUGCGUGUUUAUUUAUAUUCAAUGUUAGGUUAAAUUUUUUUGUGUUGGUGUUUAGUAAAUAAAUUUUGUGGUGAUAUAUAUGAUGACAGGGAUUAGAUACCCCAUUAAUGUAUUUUUAAAAUGUUGUCCUGGUUUUGUAACUAAAAUGGUUUGGCAGUGAGCGAUUCUUGUUAGGGGAAGAUGCAUAGUAAAGGAUGGUCCACCUAUUAUUUCACUCUUGUUAUGUUGGUGUAUAUCUGGUUUGAUAUUAUCGUUUAAUGGUUUGAGUUUGUGUAGUUUUAGUUAAGCCAAGUCUAUGUGCUGCUUAUGGGAGUUUUUGUGUGUUACAUUAAUAAGGGUGUUGUUGUAAUAUGAUAUUAUUUAGGACUUAAUAG
rnacentral:rRNA from 1 species